ACACGUGGGCAACCUACCUUAUAGUUUGGGAUAACUCCGGGAAACCGGGGCUAAUACCGAAUAAUCUAUUUUACUUCAUGGUGAAAUACUGAAAGACGGUUUCGGCUGUCGCUAUAAGAUGGGCCCGCGGCGCAUUAGCUAGUUGGUGAGGUAACGGCUCACCAAGGCGACGAUGCGUAGCCGACCUGAGAGGGUGAUCGGCCACACUGGGACUGAGACACGGCCCAGACUCCUACGGGAGGCAGCAGUAGGGAAUCUUCCACAAUGGGCGAAAGCCUGAUGGAGCAACGCCGCGUGAGUGAAGAAGGUUUUCGGAUCGUAAAACUCUGUUGUAAGGGAAGAACAAGUACAGUAGUAACUGGCUGUACCUUGACGGUACCUUAUUAGAAAGCCACGGCUAACUACGUGCCAGCAGCCGCGGUAAUACGUAGGUGGCAAGCGUUGUCCGGAAUUAUUGGGCGUAAAGCGCGCGCAGGCGGUCCUUUAAGUCUGAUGUGAAAGCCCACGGCUCAACCGUGGAGGGUCAUUGGAAACUGGGGGACUUGAGUGCAGAAGAGGAAAGUGGAAUUCCAAGUGUAGCGGUGAAAUGCGUAGAGAUUUGGAGGAACACCAGUGGCGAAGGCGACUUUCUGGUCUGUAACUGACGCUGAGGCGCGAAAGCGUGGGAGCAAACAGGAUUAGAUACCCUGGUAGUCCACGCCGUAAACGAUGAGUGCUAAGUGUUAGGGGGUUUCCGCCCCUUAGUGCUGCAGCUAACGCAUUAAGCACUCCGCCUGGGGAGUACGGUCGCAAGACUGAAA
rnacentral:rRNA from 1 species